AGAACCCUGAAAACACACGUAACCGUGAAGGCUGAUUCAUUAUGGGAGUUUAAUUAGGUUGCUUUAUCAGCUUUUUUCCCCAACAGAUUAUAGAAUUAGGACUAGGUGCAGUCAAAAAAUAAAUAAAAAUAAGUGAACUCAUUUGUAGCCUUAUAAGAACUGUUUUUAUUGUACAUUGAAUGGGUCAACUCAUGGAGGAAUAUUAUGAAAUUUUAUAUACAAUUACUGAGUGAAUCUUUAAAUGCCAUGAGAAUGUGAGAGAGAAAUGUGCAAGUGAAUUGCAAGGGAAGGCUGACAGGACUGAAGUGCUACAGACCGGUACAUCUUGAGCAUCAGAGUUCCAUAAACAAUGGCAAAGCCGAGCAGACGGACCCAACGGAGCAGAAUACACCGGAAAGUGCUGGGUUUGAAGUAUAAAAUGAAGACCUGAAAACACAGUCAGGAAAUCUUGGAAGGAGUGGAAAUUAUUGGUGAAAGCCGCGAUGAUUUCAACUGUAGUCCAAUAAUUGAAGAUUUGAAUCACACACUCACUGGGAAGUAAAGCAACAGAGAGCCACACAGGAUCAUCUCCAGCAGCAAAAGCCCAGAUGAUCGGAUCUGCUGAGAGAUCGAAAGACGGAGAGAAGUGGAGAGGGGAAGCAGAGCAUGCUGAGAAGAACAAGGACCAUGAAGAGGCCCUGCACAGCCAGGACGGCUGUCCUCAGGAGCCAGUCUUCCUGCACCCAACACGGGGCUCCAUCCUCGCACUCAUCACAGCCGGGCCAACAGGGCAGACACACAGGGACUUCUGGGUAACAAGCUCGGUAGCCUUUUUUACAUCGGCAGCAGUACUGACCCAUCCGGAAGCCCCGUUGUGGGAUGGACUCACACUGAGAGGAUGAGAAAGAAAGAGACAUGAAGUCAUGAGUCAUGCUCAGCUGUUUUAGCUUGAGCGGUAAGCAAAUGUCUUGCUCUUAGAAAUCAACCCUGAUGUUUCUGCCAGCAAUUGUGUUUGAUUGUGUUCUCUCUGCUUUCUGCCAUUAAUUGCAUGUGCAGUCUCUCAUCAGCGGUUUAUCUGUGAGAGUCGGCUGACCCACACAUCAGACUCACUCUUGAGUUAAUCUAAGCUAAAUCCUAAGUGGAGGGGUAAUACCUCUAGUGACAGAGCUUUAUCUUUUUUAUUCAGGGAAAUCCAGCACUGUUCAAAUACUACUUUUAUGUUAUAUUCUUUAUGUAAUUUUACCAUUAUUUAAUCAGGUCAGUCACUUAAGAACAAGAAUCUUAUUUAUAAAAGGAUAUUAUUCUCGUGAACAGGAGCAAUUAGGAAGAAAUUAAAAUAUACAGAAUUUCUGUGUGUCUCUUUUCA